UUACUCCAACUACAAAUAUCAAAUGAAUAGUCCCAAGCAUUCAACAAGCUCAAAUCUUAGCCAACUCUGCCCUCCCUGGUUCCUCAUAACUCCAAGGAGCCAGCAGCAGCCAUCAGUUUUGACUCAGAGCAUCUGGGCUGUGAGACACAUUCGCUCAGGUCAGCUGGCCCAGACCCCCCGGAGCCCCUGUCCCUCGCCUGGCUCCUCGCAGCCCCCUCAACCUGGAUCUAAUAGAAAUGACUUUUAUUUUAUAGUGUACUUAGCUCCAGGGGGCUUUACAGACAUAAUCUAAUUGAGGGGAGCAGAGGAGUGGGGUUGCAGGGAGCCAGUACUGUGUUUUUAAUUGGGAGGGAUGCUAGGCAAUGAAACUUAGGGAUGCUGCAAGCUCAUGCCAAGUGGCCUGCUGAGAACCAAGCCACCGAAGCAUCCGGGAGACAGAUCUUUGCUGAGGCCUCCUAUGUACCCCGCCUGCCUUACAGCUUCAAGGAGUUCAGAGGUGCGGGGCUUGGGCUCUGCCCUUACCUGGUAUGGAAGAUAAGGGCCCACGAACCAUAGGUUGGACAGAGCUUGGCUAGAGGCUGCUCUUUCCACCAGUCCAUCCUGCCCAGACCCCCACUGACCUUCUUCAAUGCCACCUGUUCCCCUCUGGCUUGGGCUAAAGGACCAGCUCUUUGCCUGGCAUUCCAGUCAUCUGACUCCCACCUGCCUUUCCGGCCUCCGUAGGAGGGUGUGUUUGUGUCUCUCACCAUUAGCCACUGUCUGUAGAUCCCCAGCCCGGGCUGGAGGCCCUCACCUGUGCGGUCACAGUGCUCCUUGGUGCAGGGGAGGGGCUGCCAUUUGCUCAAGGUCAGUUGGGAGGUGAGAGAGCUGGAUUCAUACCCCGCCUGACCUUUCCUCAUAACGUCGUAAAAGAAAGCUGAGCAUCCCCCCCUGGUUGGCAGGAGGUGGGCUCCAGCAGAGAAUAUUCCACCUUUGGAGGUGUGUGGGCUGGACGGCGUAACCUGGGCAGACAGAAGAGUGUGCGCAAAGGCUGAGCCAGGCCAGAGCUGUCCUUGUUGACCAGAUGGAAAGGAGGCUGGGGUGGCUGGGGUAGGGAGAGCCAGGGGACAGAGAAUGAGCUGGGGCCUUGAGAAGGGACAGGCCCGAGGGGUGAUAGGGCAGGCCCUGUGGGUAGAUCUGAGGGUGUGUCCCAGUGUACCGAAUGUUCUGGGCCAGCCUGAGGGCCUGGGCCCUCAUUAGCUGCUCCCCACUUGUCCUGUGAACCUGUCCAGCUGUGCCACCUUGCAGGCCACUUCUGUCCCACGCCUGGCACAGCUCCCUGCACAGAUGGGACAAUUAUAAAUGAGAGUUGAAUGACCAGACCUCUGAGGAUACUGUGACAUGGAGCUUUGGAAGCCUGGUCGGGCGCUUGCUGACCACCAGAAAAGAUGAAUCUCCACCAUUUGCCCACCAUUUGCUUCAAUGUGGAUGGAACUGGAGGGUAUUAUGCUGAGUGGAAUAAGUCAGUUGGGGCAGGCCAUUGCACACACAUUAUCUCCUUGGACUUAAUCCCCGAAACAGGCCCGUGAAGGAUGAGAACUCCUGCUUACUGAGCCCUGCUCUCUGCCAGAUGGUACAUCUGCGAGUUGGAUAGGUAAGGAACUCACCCAAGAUCUCGGCCCAGAGCUGGGGUUGCAAUCGGGCCUGUCUGGCUCCCCCACCAAGGUCUGGCCCACUGUUCCAGACCUUCUCCCAUUUGUCGAUGAGGAAGCUGAGGCUCUGGAGGCCCCAAGAUGCUGCCAGCCAGUGACUGGUGGGACGGGUCCAAAAAGAGGGCCCAGGAUGCUGGGAUGGGUAGAUGGACAAACCUGUGCCGAGUAGACUAGCCCACUGGCCAUUUGGAGGGGCUCCAUAAAUAUUUGUUGACUGACUAACAGAAAGGAAGGCCAGUCUGAGUUACAAAAUGUCCUGCAGAAGGAAAAUGCACUGAAGGAUAUUCAAAGAUGACACUAGGAGUCUCGGAGGACCUGCAGAAGGGAUAGGGAGUGGCUGUGUCAUCAGCGUCCUAAAGAUCCCAUCAGAAGGCACACUGAGACUUUUCUCUUGGGUCAGAGUGCUUAAAACCUGUCUCCUUAGUUAUCUCCAAGUAUCCUCCCUUGGACACUUGUUUGUAAGGAUCUGGAAUGUCAGCAGAUGAUGUCUGCUCACCAGCGGUGCGCUUCCGUUCUGCUCUCCUGGAAGGAGCUCUAGCUCCUGAUCUGAGGGGUUUGGGUUUCUAUUAGGAACUGCAGGGCCCUCCCAUGUGUUCACAUGUCUCACCUGAGCUUCCAGGCUGCCUGAAAACAGACCAGCGUCCUUUAUGCCAGGAGCCCAGUCUUCCAGCGUGGGGCUCUCCCGGGGCCUCGGGUGAGUUGGGCCAGUGGAUGGAGCUUGACCCCUCUGACCUCUGUGUCUACCUGCCCAGCCAGAGUAGAGG